rnacentral:piRNA from 1 species
UGCUCAAGCUCCUGUUUGCUCAUCAGC